rnacentral:rRNA from 1 species
UACGUAGGUGGCAAGCGUUGUCCGGAAUUAUUGGGCGUAAAGCGCGCGCAGGCGGCCUCCUAAGUCCGAUGUGAAAGCCCACGGCUCAACCGUGGAGGGUCAUUGGAAACUGGGGGACUUGAGUGCAGGAGAGAAGAGUGGAAUUCCACGUGUAGUGGUGAAAUGCGUAGAGAUGUGGAGGAACACCGAUGGCGAAGGCAGGUCUCUGGGCUGAAACUGACGCUCAUGCACGAAAGCGUGGGGAGCAAACAGG